GACGAACGCUGGCGGCGUGCUUAACACAUGCAAGUCGAACGAAGUGGCGAACGGGUGAGUAACGCGUAAUCAACCUGCCCUUCAGAGGGGGACAACAGUUGGAAACGACUGCUAAUACCGCAUACUGAAGGAGGGGAUUGCGGUCGAUUAGCUAGUGGGAGGGGGAACGGCCCACCAAGGCGAUGAUCAGUAGCCGGUCUGAGAGGAGGAACGGCCACAUUGGGACUGAGACACGGCCCAGACUCCUACGGGGGGCAGCAGUGGGGAAGCUUCCGCAAUGGACGAAGGUCUGACGGAGCAACGCCGCGUGAGUGAUGACGGCCUUCGGGCUGUAAAGCUCUGUUAAUCGGGACGCGGUACCGGAAUAGAAAGCCACGGCUAACUACGUGCCAGCAGCCGCGGUAAUAC
rnacentral:rRNA from 1 species